ACUCCUACGGGAGGCAGCCGUAGGGAAUUUUCCGCCAAGGCCGCAAAUCUGACUCCACCACACCGCGCGAGUGAAGAAGGCCUCCGGGUCGUAAAACUCUGUUAUCGGGAAGAACAAGUACCAGUUAAUAAGCUGGCACCUGACGUACACCAAAGCAGUCCUUU
rnacentral:rRNA from 1 species